GACGAACGCUGGCGGCGUGCUUAACACAUGCAAGUCGAACGGAAAGGCCCUGCUUUUGUGGGGUGCUCGAGUGGCGAACGGGUGAGUAACACGUGAGUAACCUGCCCUUGACUUUGGGAUAACUUCAGGAAACUGGGGCUAAUACCGGAUAGGAGCUCCUGCUGCAUGGUGGGGGUUGGAAAGUUUCGGCGGUUGGGGAUGGACUCGCGGCUUAUCAGCUUGUUGGUGGGGUAGUGGCUUACCAAGGCUUUGACGGGUAGCCGGCCUGAGAGGGUGACCGGCCACAUUGGGACUGAGAUACGGCCCAGACUCCUACGGGAGGCAGCAGUGGGGAAUAUGGCACAAUGGGCGGAAGCCGGAGGCAGCAACGCCGCGUGCGGGAUGACGGCCUUCGGGUUGUAAACCGCUUUCGCCUGUGACGAAGCGUGAGUGAAGGUAAUGGGGAAAGAAGCACCGGCUAACUACGU
rnacentral:rRNA from 1 species